GACUGUUCCGGUGGCCGAGCGGUUAUAGCUACCGCCUCGGAUGCGGGAGGUCGCGGUUUCGAAAAAUGGCCGAGUCA